rnacentral:rRNA from 1 species
GAUGAACGCUGGCGGCGUGCUUAACACAUGCAAGUCGAACGAUGACCCCGUGCUUGCACGGGUGAUUAGUGGCGAACGGGUGAGUAACACGUGAGUAACCUGCCCCCGACUUUGGGAUAAGCCCGGGAAACUGGGUCUAAUACCGGAUAUGACUUCUUACCGCAUGGUGGGUUGUUGAAAGAUUUAUCGGUGGGGGAUGGACUCGCGGCCUAUCAGCUUGUUGGUGGGGUAAUGGCUCACCAAGGCGACGACGGGUAGCCGGCCUGAGAGGGUGACCGGCCACACUGGGACUGAGACACGGCCCAGACUCCUACGGGAGGCAGCAGUGGGGAAUAUUGCCCAAUGGGCGAAAGCCUGAUGCAGCGACGCCGCGUGAGGGAUGACGGCCUUCGGGUUGUAAACCUCUUUCAGUAGGGAAGAAGCGAAAGUGACGGUACCUGCAGAAGAAGCGCCGGCUAACUACGUG